GGCACCGUCGCCAAGUGGUAAGGCCCGGGUCUGCAAAACCCGUAUUCGGCGGUUCGAAUCCGCCCGGUGCCUCCA
rnacentral:tRNA from 1 species